AAUGUACUCCUUCCGUUCGGAAUUACUUGUCUCGGAAAUGGAUGUAUCUAGAACUAAAAUACAUCUAGAUACAUCCAUUUUCGCGACAAGUAAUUCCAAACGGAGGGAGUAUUUA
rnacentral:pre_miRNA from 1 species